rnacentral:lncRNA from 1 species
UGGCUGUGUAGCUCCUUGUCUACCCAUGAGAUCCUCAUUAAUACAUCGAACAAACUUGUAGCCGAGAAACAUUAUCAUUUUUGAUUCCUUUUCUCCAUUAUGAAACAUACAUUCCGGUGAUAUGCAUGUAAGUGGCGAAGUAAAUUUUGUACAGAAUUUUUUAUUGCAGAUUUCUUCUUCUCUAUUGAGUAAUCUUGACGAAUAACCAUGUUAUCUUGGUUGUUGAUGCUUCCAUGUUUUGUAACACUGUCCCUCUGCAAAAAAGAAGCAAAUGUUAAUGAAAAAAUUAUGUCCAUGUUCUCAUCUGGUCGAUCGUGGUGACUGCAUGCUGUAUUAAUGUUGAUUCCUUUUGUUUCUUCCCUUUCCUUCUUUAAUUUCUUGCAACUGUUAUUCUCAGGUUUUGACAUUGAAGCUUAUCCUCAUUAACCACCCUUCUGCUCGACGCAUCAAGUUCCCAGAAAUCACAACUCUCCAUGUUGCCACUGUCAAAUGCAUAAUUUGCAAGGUGGUCUGCUAGUUUGUUUCCUUGUCUGAAAAUGUGAGAUAUCUUGUAAUUACACCUGAUUUUGAGUCUGUUGAUUUCCUCCACGGCAUCCACAAUAUUCCAGGGUGGUUUCCACUAUCCAUCUAUGAUCUUUUGAAGUAUCAUUGAAUCUGUCUGAAGCCAAACAUUGUGGUGAUUCAUUGAUUUGCACAUUCUCAUUGCCUCUACUAUUGCUGUCGCCUCAGCUUCAUUGUUAGAACCCUCCUUAAAUUAUCUUCCUUCUGCAUAUAUCAAAUCACCUAUCUCAUCUCUUAAGCAAAAACCAAUUGAACUCCUCCCUGGGUUCCCUAUGCAUGCUCCAUCAGUAUUCACUUUGAUCCAGCCUGUUUGAGGAAAUUCCCAUAGCACUUUAUCAUAUUUCAAUCGAGGUGUGUAUUGCUCAUCAUUGUCAACAAGUCCAGCCAUUUGUGAGGCAC